rnacentral:rRNA from 1 species
AUAUCAAUAAGCGGAGGAAAAGAAACCAACAGGGAUUGCCUUAGUAGCGGCGAGUGAAGCGGCAAUAGCUCAAAUUUGAAAUCUGGCACCUUCGGUGUCCGAGUUGUAAUUUGAAGAAGGUAUCUUUGGUUUUGGCUCUUGUCUAUGUUCCUUGGAACAGGACGUCACAGAGGGUGAGAAUCCCGUGCGAUGAGAUGCCCAAUUCCAUGUAAAGUUCCUUCGACGAGUCGAGUUGUUUGGGAAUGCAGCUCUAAGUGGGUGGUAAAUUCCAUCUAAAGCUAAAUAUUGGCGAGAGACCGAUAGCGAACAAGUACUGUGAAGGAAAGAUGAAAAGAACUUUGAAAAGAGAGUGAAAAAGUACGUGAAAUUGUUGAAAGGGAAGGGCUUGAGAUCAGACUUGGAAUUUUCCAUUACAUGGAGCUUUCCGGGCCAGCAUCAGUUUGGAUGGCAGGAUAAUUGCGUUGGAAAGUAGCUCUACUUCGGUGGAGUAUUAUAGCCUUCGUCGAUACUGCCUGUCUAGACUGAGGACUGCGUCUUUGACUAGGAUGCUGGCAU